GAUACGGCCCAGACUCCUACGGGAGGCAGCAGUGGGGAAUAUUGCACAAUGGGCGCAAGCCUGAUGCAGCGACGCCGCGUGGGGGAUGACGGCCUUCGGGUUGUAAACCUCUUUCAGCAGGGACGAAGCGCAAGUGACGGUACCUGCAGAAGAAGCACCGGCCAACUACGUGCCAGCAGCCGCGGUAAUACGUAGGGUGCGAGCGUUGUCCGGAAUUACUGGGCGUAAAGAGCUCGUAGGUGGUUUGUCGCGUUGUUCGUGAAAACCGGGGGCUUAACCCUCGGCGUGCGGGCGAUACGGGCAGACUGGAGUACUGCAGGGGAGACUGGAAUUCCUGGUGUAGCGGUGGAAUGCGCAGAUAUCAGGAGGAACACCGGUGGCGAAGGCGGGUCUCUGGGCAGUAACUGACGCUGAGGAGCGAAAGCGUGGGGAGCGAACAGGAUUAGAUACCCUGGUAGUCCACGCCGUAAA
rnacentral:rRNA from 1 species